UUGCACGCUGGCGGCAUGCCUUACACAUGCAAGUCGCACGGCAGCGCGGACUUCGGUCUGGCGGCGAGUGGCGAACGGGUGAGUAAUACAUCGGAACGUACCCUGUUGUGGGGGAUAACUAGUCGAAAGAUUAGCUAAUACCGCAUACGACCUGAGGGUGAAAGUGGGGGACCGCAAGGCCUCACGCAGCAGGAGCGGCCGAUGUCUGAUUAGCUAGUUGGUGGGGUAAAGGCCCACCAAGGCGACGAUCAGUAGCUGGUCUGAGAGGACGAUCAGCCACACUGGGACUGAGACACGGCCCAGACUCCUACGGGAGGCAGCAGUGGGGAAUUUUGGACAAUGGGGGCAACCCUGAUCCAGCAAUGCCGCGUGUGUGAAGAAGGCCUUCGGGUUGUAAAGCACUUUUGUCCGGAAAGAAAUCGCGCUGGUUAAUACCUGGCGUGGAUGACGGUACCGGAAGAAUAAGCACCGGCUAACUACGUG
rnacentral:rRNA from 1 species